GCCUCCGAGGGGAGGUAUCAGAUAUUGAGGGGGUGAGGGGAGGUAGAGAUAUUGAGGGGGUGAGGGGAGGUAGAGAUAUUGAAGGGGUGAGGGGAGGUAGAGAUAUUGAGGGGGUGGAGGGGAGGUAGAGAUAUUGAGGGGGUGGAGGGGAGGUAUCAGAGAUAUUGAAGGGGUGGAGGGGAGGUAUCAGAGAUAUUGAGGGGUGGAGGGGAGGUAUCAGAGAUAUUGAGGGGGUGGAGGGGAGGUAUCAGAGAUAUUGAGGGGGUGGAGGGGAGGUAGAGAUAUUGAGGGGGUGGAGGGGAGGUAUCAGAGAUAUUGAGGGGGUGGAGGGGAGGUAUCAGAGAUAUUGAGGGGGUGGAGGGGAGGUAUCAGAGAUAUUGAGGGGGUGGAGGGGAGGUAUCAGAGAUAUUGAGGGGGUGGAGGGGAGGUAUCAGAGAUAUUGAGGGGGUGGAGGGGAGGUAUCAGAGAUAUUGAGGGGGUGGAGGGGAGGUAUCAGAGAUAUUGAGGGGGUGGAGGGGAGGUAUCAGAGAUAUUGAGGGGGUGGAGGGAGGUAUCAGAGAUAUUGAG